UACGACGGGGGCUAGCGUUGUUCGGAAUCACUGGGCGUAAAGCGCACGUAGGCGGCUUGUUAAGUCGGGGGUGAAAUCCUGAGGCUCAACCUCAGAACUGCCUUCGAUACUGGCAAUCUCGAGUCCGGAAGAGGUUGGUGGAACAGCUAGUGUAGAGGUGAAAUUCGUAGAUAUUAGCUAGAACACCAGUGGCGAAGGCGGCCAACUGGUCCGGUACUGACGCUGAGGUGCGAAAGCGUGGGGAGCAAACAGG
rnacentral:rRNA from 1 species